GAACUGUUCCACACAAAUAGGUCACAAUCUUAUACGUACUGUUCCACACAAAUAGGUAACAAGCUUAUACGUACUGUUCCACACAAAUAGGUCACAAGCUUAUACGUACUGUUCCACACAAAUAGGUCAUAAGCUUAUACGUACUGUUCCACACAAAUAGGUCACAAGCUUAUACGUACUGUUCCACACAAAUAGGUAACAAGCUUAUACGUACUGUUCCACACAAAUAGGUCACAAGCUUAUACAUACUGUUCCACACAAAUAGGUCACAAGCUUAUACGUACUUUUCCACACAAAUAGGUCACAAGCUUAUACGUACUUUUCCACACAAAUAGGUCACAAGCUUACACAUACUGUACCACACAAAUAGGUAACAAGCUUAUACGUACUGUUCUACACAAAUAAGUAACAAGCUUAUACGAACUGUUCCACAUAAAUAGGUAACAAGCUUAUACGAACUGUUCUACACAAAUAAGUAACAAGCUUAUACGAACUGUUCCACAUAAAUAAGUAACAAGCUUAUACGUACUGUACCACACAAAUAGGUAACAAGCUUAUACGUACUGUUCUACACAAAUAAGUAACAAGCUUAUACGAACUGUUCCACAUAAAUAGGUAACAAGCUUAUACGAACUGUUCUACACAAAUAAGUAACAAGCUUAUACGAACUGUUCCACAUAAAUAAGUAACAAGCUUAUACGUACUGUACCACACAAAUAGGUAACAAGCUUAUACGUACUGUUCUACACAAAUAAGUAACAAGCUUAUACGAACUGUUCCACAUAAAUAGGUAACAAGCUUAUACGAACUGUUCUACACAAAUAAGUAACAAGCUUAUACGAACUGUUCCACAUAAAUAAGUAACAAGCUUAUACGUACUG